UNGCAUUGCGCAGGUUAAGAGACCCUAGU
rnacentral:piRNA from 1 species